rnacentral:sRNA from 12 species
UUUACCCUGCUACUUGCGAAGUCUCAAGUUGUACUUGGGAUACGCUCAAAUGCAAUCUAUUUAGAUAUACUACGAGCAUAGCAAGAGUGGGUUAAA